CUCUUCCUGUGGCUGGGCCAGGCCCGCCCCCCCCGAGCUCAUCCAGGGGCUCUUCAACCUGCCCUCGCUCGCUCACCUGCAGCCCAACACGAUUGCAGAACAUGUGCAACAGCGCCCCCUGUGGUCACACAGAAUUCGGUGGGAUCCCGGUGUACCGGGACACGGAGCUGUUCGCCUACGGUGGCUGUGGACCUGUGGGAGCGCAAUUUUGGUGUGAGUUCAACCCACGUGUCUCAAGAAUAGUGUCAUUGGUGGGGGCUUGGACCCAGGUCUGCUGUGCUUAUGAAGACUGUGUGUCUCGGUGGCGCAAUGGAGAGAGACGCUGUCUGAUGAUAAUUCAACCUCAUCUGAGAUCUAGCAACCUGGGUUCAAGUCCUGGGGACUUCAACUGAAAAAUCGACGCUUCCAACUUCAUCAGACGAAACAGUAACGUCUGAACAAUUGGCUUCUCGAACAACGGUUCAAACUACAACAGCAGAGCCAUUGACUUCUGCAUCCAUAGUUCUGACUUAAACGGAUGGAACAGUGACGUCAUGAUGACCAAUAAAAAAUGACAGCAUCACCCCUUGUGAUUUCUUAGAGAACUAAUGACAUUUUAUCAAUAAUUUAUUUUAUAAUUGAUAAAACACAACAGUGUUACCCCUUAUGUUUUUAAGAUAAGAAAACACCAGUGUUUUCCCUUAAGUUUGAAUUGAUAGAAAACAAACGUUUUUUUACGAAGAAUACAGUGUUACACCUUAUGUUUUUUUUCACGACGACCAAUAAAAACGACAGUGUUAGUCUUUUAGUUUUUUUUCAUUACGCCCGAUAAAAAAGAAGACAGCGUUACCCCUUAUGUUUUUAAGCAAAAAAAACACCACUCUUGCCCCAUCAUUGGUUCGACCCGUGGUUCAAUUCAUCAGACUUAUCCGUUUCACCGGUUCGUCAGGGCCCAUGAGAUUGGUCUCGAUAAUGUUGUGUCCUUUCCUCUGUUUCUACGGUUGUUGAAUUCGGCGGAACAGCUUUACAUCUGAAUAGUAAUAUGAAAAAAGAAGGUCAGGUUAUGCAAAGGACUACAAUGACGAGCAUCAAAACAGUCAGCACUAUAACAACGCGUGUGAAUGUUGUCACCAAUUACAAUUUUCCAUCACAGUAUGCUUGGUACCUUGCCAAGGAGGCACCGUUUGACUUCACUGUUGUAAGUAGGCAUUACAUUCAAUGAAAAAAGAGCUGACGAUUGAAAAGAUACGUUUAAAAUAAGAAUUGGAUUUUUGACAUAAGGUUACAAUAUCGAAAAAUUCAUACUUGUAUGCAUAUUUUAUCAUUGUCAAUUCUCUGAAUAACCCCUUACUUUAGAAAGACAUGCCUGUCCUCAGAAAAUGGUGGUGCACAGUACUGCUUGAGAACUUCCAUCUGGAUGGGGAUGUUUUUGUUUAUUUCAAAUAUGAAUAUAUACCUCAACCCCAAUAUUAACAAAAUAUGUAUAAUUCCUACAAUCAUUUCUCUUUAUUUAUACAGGCACGGCAGAAGGUUCCCACACUUCAUGGAGGAGGCCAAACAAAUGGCGGCUGGACUACUUCCACCAGUCUCCAGACAGAGGCGAAAAAGAGAAGUGAAUGACGUUUCCAGUGACAGAAUACAAAUAAUAUAUAGUAUAGGCUUAAUAUUGAUUUGACUGUUUGAUUUGGAGCUGAUGGCAGUUCAUGAAGAAGCUAUAUCUUUAGGCUUCUGUAGAUUAUUUGUUAAAUAAAUUGUGAGGAAACUGGUGUGGUUAUUCUUCAAUGUAUAUUUAUAUCAAAUUAUGAUGAUAUACUUUACAAAAAAAUACAUUUAAUUCUAUUAGACAAAUUACUUAAUUCUAAUGGUCAAUUACUUAAUGAGUAAAGUGUAUAAUAAACAAUUCCAUAAAAUAAUUGUCUACACCCUAAAUCAGUUUAUUCGUCUAAAUAACGUUAAGAAAUUGAGUUAUAAAAAAAGCUUACUGACAUGUCAUAAUAUUGUUUUAUUCUAAUAAGUUUAAGAACGCAAAGAAAAAAUCCUGAGGUAUUUGUCUAAAUAACGUUAAACCUUUUUUAAGCUCUAAAAAUGGUUACUAACGAGUCGAAAUAUUUUUUUAUUUCUAUGUUUUGUUAAUUCAAGCGAUAAAUAUAUUUAUUUGUCUAUAGAAAAAAUUAUCUGAGGUAACUUGCGUCCAGCCACAGUACUUCUGUCCCGCCUGGGUGGUGUUCUUUCAUGCCAGGGUGUUCUCCGGGGCUGCAGUUGGAUACUAUUGGAUUUCUGUGGCAAGGAAGGCGAAAUCAUAGGAGAUGAACUUCGGUUGAGAUCUUUGAACAGAAAACUAUUCAAAAAAUGAAUAUGCAUAGAUAAAACGAGUAUAGCAACGUUAGACUUGCCUGCAAAUCAAAAUAUAUGCUGCAACUCAAUACUUGCGUUUAAAG